rnacentral:tRNA from 1 species
AGCGGGUAUAGUUUAGAGGUAAAACACCACCUUGCCAAGGUGGAUUCACGGGUUCGAUUCCCGUUACCCGCUA